rnacentral:rRNA from 1 species
UGGGGAAUAUUGGACAAUGGGCGAAAGCCUGAUCCAGCCAUGCCGCGUGUGUGAAGAAGGUCUUCGGAUUGUAAAGCACUUUAAGUUGGGAGGAAGGGUUGUAGAUUAAUACUCUGCAAUUUUGACGUUACCGACAGAAUAAGCACCGGCUAACUCUGUGCCAGCAGCCGCGGUAAUACAGAGGGUGCAAGCGUUAAUCGGAAUUACUGGGCGUAAAGCGCGCGUAGGUGGUUUGUUAAGUUGGAUGUGAAAGCCCCGGGCUCAACCUGGGAACUGCAUCCAAAACUGGGAAGCUAGAGUACGGUAGAGGGUGGUGGAAUUUCCUGUGUAGCGGUGAAAUGCGUAGAUAUAGGAAGGAACACCAGUGGCGAAGGCGACCACCUGGACUGAUACUGACACUGAGGUGCGAAAGCGUGGGGAGCAAACA